rnacentral:rRNA from 1 species
UACGGAGGGUGCAAGCGUUAAUCGGAAUUACUGGGCGUAAAGCGCGCGUAGGCGGUUUGUUAAGUCGGAUGUGAAAGCCCUGGGCUCAACCUGGGAACUGCAUUCGAUACUGAUCGACUAGAGUACGAGAGAGGGAGGUAGAAUUCCACGUGUAGCGGUGAAAUGCGUAGAUAUGUGGAGGAAUACCGGUGGCGAAGGCGGCCUCCUGGCUCGAUACUGACGCUGAGGUGCGAAAGCGUGGGUAGCAAACAGGAUUAGAUACCCGCGUA